CUUCACAUUGCGAAUGUGUGAGAUGCUCAUGCCAAACCCACUGAAGUCGUAUUUUCUACCCAUGCUCACUGGUCAGUAGAUUUGGAUAAACUUUCGUGGGCCCAACUAAUGCCAACAAAUUCUUAUCUUAGAGCCUGAUCCAGCUCUCACAGCAUGGUGACUACAUUCAGCAGGAGAUGAACUGAUUGAAUGCACAGAACUGACAUAGGACGUAAUCCUAAAGCUGGUAAUUAAGGCAAUUGUAGAAUGCCCCAGACGUUGUAAGACAUCGUAAGACAAUGUUGUGUGAUAUGAUGGUGGGACUACAUGCACAAAAGAUCCUUAUGUUCCUCUGUUUUCCACUGUCCUUUAGAACAGAGAAGUUCUAAGUCUCACACAAGUUAGAUGCCUACAAGAGGUGGGAUAAAUUUCUACUUUUCUGGAAAUCUGGUGGCCAAAUAAUUAAGGAGAGAGUUACCCAAGUUAUUGUGGACAUAUAUCCUGUUAGUGCUAAGGUCCAGACUGAAGGCACAAUGCACUUCGUACAUCACUUAUCUCUGCCAAUCCCCUGACGGAGAAACCAAACCAGAUGAAAUCAAGCCAAACCCCUUUUUAAUAGCAGACAAAAAGUCCUCAGCUGGCUAUUUUUAAUAUGGAAAAACUGAACAAUGGUCUAAUGUAGCGGAGGAGAAAGGGUUCCUGCUUUUGAGAAGUGUCCAGAUGAUCCCACACAAUCAAAUGCUACAGAGACUAGUAAACAGCAAGCAGCUACUGCCACCCAGUUUACUGAGUGCUCAGAGAAUAACUAUGGAUGUGCAGUAAGCCCUGACCAGUGCAUGCACUUGCAGGUAGUAAAUGCUAAGCAGAACCUGAAACACCAAGUUAAUGCACAAAUGCUGUCUACUCCAAGCUACAACACCAGUGAAAACCUAUGAUUAAAUACAGACUUGCUAAAAAAAAUAGGAAACAUUUUCAAAUGAAAAUAUUUGUUGACACAUUGUGAUGAUUUGAAAAAUUUGAGUUGUGCUAAUAACCUUCCCUAUUCCUCUUUACUGCUACUUUMAGCUAGAUAUGGCCAUACUCUGUCUACCUCUUUGCCCUCUUUUUAAUCAUCUAACCAACAUCUGAAGGAAUGUUUUGUUUUCCUUUAGGAAUAACUUUAAAAAUAAGAAUUGUAUUUUAUAGC
rnacentral:lncRNA from 1 species